GUCCAUAUACUCCCCCUUCCACCACACGCAUCAUCUACUCUCUCUCACCUAAUCACUAUUCACCUUCUCCCUCAAUUGCACACAAAACUUCCCCCAAAUCAGAACUUCCGCCGCCUCACCCAGCUUCACACCUCGCGACGUCGACCAGCCAUCCCUCCAACGCCACCAUCGCACCGCCGUCGGCUUGUUUUCCUCCACAUCGUCUCUCUCCCUCCCUCUCUCUCUCCUCUCCCUCUUUUCUCCCCUUCUCAUCUCUCUCUCUCUCUCCACUGCGCUGCCGCCGCUGCCACGAAUCCGCCGUCGCGGAUCCACCGUCGUUGGCUCCUCCCUCCAUCAUCUUCUCCCCUCCAUUCCUCUCUUUUAAUCUUUAUUCAUAAAGAUUAUAUUUUAUUUUACUUUUCGUUUUGAUGACAAAGCUUCGUUAGUUUAAAAUUUUCCAGAUUUUUAAAGAAAUGAAAGCAGUGGCUUUCAGAGAAUUGGUGGUCGAUUGUCGGUGACGGAGUGCCGAGCUUGCUGCCGGAAUCCAGCAGAUUCAUAGAGAUAAGUUUUGGUGCAGGUAUAAUCGUUCAAGUUCGUGGCUGUCCGCGUUGAAGUAUCCGAUUUUCUUAGAAUGCAGGAUGUAUAAAUUAAAUUUUGUUGGACUUUUGUUGAAUGCAACGGACAUUAAAAUUUUGAUUUUGACAUCUUAUUUAUUUAAA